AAUGAAUUGUGUGUCAAAUUACCUGGAGAGCUUUUGAGCCGAGGUGAUGUGACCACACGUCCUCUGCGUGUCACAUGACCGAUAGUGAGAAUGGAGCCUUGGUUUUACAAGCAGCUCAUUUGACACUCGGCCGAUGGAGACAUUUAGUUCAGCGUCUCUCGGCACACGACGCCAGGAAAGAAUCAAUUUUCCCGUCCGAUCUUAUUUAACAAAUACACGUCCUUGAUGCAUUGUGCUCUGACAGAAACUUUAAUAUCACCCAGGACACCACCUGCAAUUUGAAACGAGAGUCAGUGAAUGGGAUUCGGAGGUUGUGUUGGCAGUGAAUCCACCAGUCGAAUGCAGCGCUGGAGACAGAGAGCUGCACCUCAGCAUGACGAAUGUCAUGUGCCUCCACAACAUGAGACAUAUUUGAGUUUACAGGGACAUUAAGGAUUAGAGACCGAAGGGAAAAACCCACAAGACGUUUAUUCAUUCAUUCAGCAAAUAUUUAAUUUAGUCAGUAAAGAUGUUUUAACAAGAAAACAGUAAAAACCUGACUAAAAAAAUGACCUCAUCUCAGGACUUAUGGUUAAGAAGGGACAAUAAUGGUUCUGGGUUUAAGGGGGGCACUAAGGGUUUACAUUAGCAUUUAGCUGACGCUUCUAUCCAAAGUGACUUACAUUGCAUUUGUAACCCAUGGUUUUUCACAUUUGGCCCGGGGCGCAAUUACGGGUUGGGUGUCUUGCUCAGGGACACUUUGACAUGGGACAUGGAGCAGCCAGGGUUUGAACCACUAACCUUGCGGUUCCCAGUGCUCCCUCUCUACUUCAUGCGCCAUCGUCGCCCGGGUUUAGGGUUGAGGAGGGGCACUAAGGUUUUAGGGUUGAGGAGGGGCACUAAGGGUUUAGGGUUGAGGAGGGGCCCUAAGGGUUUAGGGUUGAGGGGGGACAUUGGACCAGAGUAACUUCCCCUUGAGCUACCGAUUCGUUGACGAUUUGCUGACGGGUAUAAAGACCGAGCUGGGACGCGUCCUCACCGGAGCAAACAUGGGUCACUCCGAGACGGGGGGAGAGGGGGGACACAGCAGAUCUACACUGUGUUUGAGUUGUGUUUGAGACCACAUCACACUUCAGAGGAGAUGGAGGCAGGCGGACGGUGUGCAGGAGGUGAGCGAUCAGUCUUCAGCCGACUCUGAAACAACAACCAGGACCAGCGGACUCACACACUGCCGUCCAAACACAAACGACAAGUUCAUUGGUGACAAUGAAACAUGAAACAAUUUAAAACAACAAAAUGACAAACGACCGUCUGGCGGAUGUCAGGUGUGUCAGCUGGGCAUCAGGACUCAAACGCAGACUCACCGAGCAAAACGCCGGGACACGUAACGGGACACUGAAUGAAGAAGCGACCUGGAGACGGUUUAAAUACACUGGGAAGGUGGAGUGAUUGGACACAGGAGGAAACAAUCAGCCACACGCCAGGCAAUCAUACUCACAGAGGAAAGCACACCAGGGCAGGAAGUGAAGUCAACCGAGGGACACGAGAGGCAGGAAACUACAAAAUAAAACAGGAACUGAACCCACAGCGCCUGGCGGAUGGUUGCAGCGGCUGUGAAGGUGGAAUCCUGACCAUCGCAUUUUACAAGUAUUUAUGCAGAUUAUAAGUGAUGAUAUCUGCCACUUGGUUGCUAGAGAGUGUAGUUAUUUCCAUUUGCCACUGAACGCACCAUCCGCUGAAACGGCAGUAAAGCAUUUACCAAAACCCUUUGCUCUUAAAAGACCUACAGCUCAUAGAUGUGGCCGGGACAGAGUCUGCAGGAGAAUAACGCUGGUAUCAGCUGCCGUCCGAUGCUAAGACGCAGCGUCUAUGUAUAGUGCAAACUAAGAUUCUAAGAAUAUGCAUGACUGACAGGGAGGAGGAAACACAGACGGACACACAGAGUCAUGGAGGAAGUGGGAUUUGAGUUUGUGUGAGGAGGCUAAGGGACGCCACGUAAACACAAACAUACCCGCGAUGACACUUGGCAUUUUCCGGUGCCCAAGUGUGACUCACGAGCAUCGGAUUAGCUCGUCCACGCACUGCUCCUCGCCCCUGCGGCACUUCCCCGACCUUCAGCGGGAAGCCGCCACCGC
ensembl:lncRNA